GCCGAAGUGGCGGAAUUGGUAGACGCGCUGCGUUCAGGGCGCAGUGGGCUUUCGUGCUCGUGUGGGUUCGAGUCCCUCCUUCGGCACCA
rnacentral:tRNA from 1 species